AUUGAACGCUGGCGGCAGGCCUAACACAUGCAAGUCGAACGAGUGGCGGACGGGUGAGUAAUGUCUGGGAAACUGCCUGAUGGAGGGGGAUAACUACUGGAAACGGUAGCUAAUACCGCAUACCAUCAGAUGUGCCCAGAUGGGAUUAGAUAGUAGGUGGGGUAACGGCUCACCUCGGCGACGCUCCCUAGCUGGUCUGAGAGGGGACCCAGCCCACCUGGAACUGAGACACGGGCCAGGCUCCUACGGGAGGCAGCAGUGGGGAAGAUUGCCAAAUGGGCGCAAGCCUGAUGCAGCCAUGCCGCGGGUAUGAAGAAGGCCUUCGGGUUGUAAAGUACUUUCAGCGGGGAGGCGUUACCCGCAGAAGAAGCACCGGCUAACUCCGUUCCAGCAGCCGCGGUAAUUC
rnacentral:rRNA from 1 species